rnacentral:rRNA from 1 species
AGAGUUUGAUCAUGGCUCAGAUUGAACGCUGGCGGCGUGCCUAACACAUGCAAGUCGAGCGGUAACAGGUGUAGCAAUACAUGCUGACGAGCGGCGGACGGGUGAGCAAUGUUUGGGAAUCUGCCUACUAGUGGGGGACAACCCGGGGUAACUCGGGCUAAUACCGCAUACGCUCCAUGGAGGAAAGCCGGGGACCGCAAGGCCUGGCGCUAGUAGAUGAGCCCAAAUCGGAUUAGCUAGUUGGUGGGGUAACGGCCCACCAAGGCGACGAUCCGUAGCUGGUUUGAGAGAACGACCAGCCACACCGGGACUGAGACACGGUCCGGACUCCUACGGGAGGCAGC